rnacentral:lncRNA from 1 species
UCUGCCUCCCGAGUGCUGGGAUUAAAGGCGUGAGCCACCACGCCCGGCAAUGCCACAUAUUCUUGAAUGUGGCAUUCCAGCAGAGUGUGGUCAGCUUAUCAAGGACAACAUUUUUUUCAGUUUUUUUAACACAUGAGAGUUUUACCUCCAUGUAUGGCAUGUCUCGAACAUGCAUGCCCAGUGCCCAAAGUACCCAGGAAAGGGCGUCGAAUGACCUGGAGAUAAAUGAGCUACCACGUGGGUGCUGGGAUUCAAAGCCACGUCCUCUGAAACAGCAGGAAACGCUCUUAGCCACUGAGUAACAAACAAACAAACAGACACCAAAACUAGCUGCUCUGCUGCCGGCAGCUGCUCGGCCAGGGUGGAGCUAGAUGCCCCUUUCCCACGGUGAGGUUUGGUCCUGCUUGAGACUGCAUGGGGCUCCUGUCUGCUGUCAGUCACUGUGGGUUCAUAUGUUCAGCUGCUCUGCUGUGUCUGGAGGACACCGUUUCCCUGCAGCCAUCCGUCCCCUCUGGUCUGCCCCUCUUCUGUAGUGAUCCCUGAGCUGUAGGAGUAGAGGAUGUGACACAGCUGCCCCAUUUAGGAUCCAUCAGCCCAGUGUCUCGUUCUCUGCACUUUGGCCAGUUUGUGAGUCUCCCUGUAAAUCCCCAUCUAUUGCACAUAUACGCUUCAGUGAUGAGGGUUUAGAGACGCCCUAGUCUGUGGGUGUAAUGGGAAGACAUUGAGAAAUCAGUUAAAUACUAUGUCCAAUAGUAAUAGUCUCUCCCCUAGGGCCAGUGGCCUGUCCAACCACAGGUUCUUAGCCAACACUGAUACCAGUGUAGGUUUCAUCUUGAGGAACAGGACUUAAAUUCAAGCAGAAAGGGGUCGGUUAUUACCGUGAUACCCAUGACACUGUUGCUCACUGAGACAUUGCUUUCUCGCAUGUUAGAUGGAUAGGUAGAAUCCCCUAGUGAAACUGGUUACCUUGGCCUGCUUGUCUUUGCCUUGCUGGUUAGUAAUUAGAGGCCUAUUCAGGUCAGAUGUUUCAGGCAUUGAACUCAGAACCUCAGGCGUGGCAGCAAGAGUGCUUACCCACUGAGCCAUCUCGCUGACCCUUCUUCAUAAUAUCAUUUCAUAGCUUGGGAAUCUAGCCUGCAAUUUACUAAUAUUGAUUGAUUGGAAGAUUAUGCAUAGAAUACAGACAAUUACCAACCGUUACUAUCUCUUUGUUUGCUUUGCUUCUCCGAGUGGAGUCCUGGCUAUCACUUCCUUGCCUGGUUCUGGCUCUGCCUCCCAGCUGCUGGGAUUAAAGGAUUCACCACCAACCUGGAUAUUACUCAUCUCCUAACCCUCGUUUGUUUUCAAAAAUUUUGCCAGCAUGACAAAAUUAUAGUUUCAGAAAUACUGAAUAUAAAAAUAUGCCUUAGUUCAUGCCUUGUAAUACAUUUCUGCAUAUUAAGGUAUGUCAGGAGAAAAUCGAGCCUUUAGUUUAGACGCGUGGACGCAGGUGGGGAUCUCUGGUGCUUAACUCUACAAGUCUGAAAAAUGAUGUUUCAAAGCCCAUUCUUAGUAUAAAGUGGCGUUGAGAAUGUGCCUGGUGCCUGUGUGUACUGAGCAAUGUUCAGACAGGAGUUUUUCAAGGACAGUGUGAUGUGCACAGGGCCAGAUCUUUCUGGGAAGCCAAGUGUGUGUCCACUCAGAUUCACUUAGAUGCCUCAUUUUCCCACUGUGAAUAUGCUCACAGCUCCCUGCACCUAAGGCUCAGGGCACACUGCAGAAGACGGGCCAAGAAGACCUGGGAGUUUGCUGUGAGAGUGCCUCUCUUCAUGUCAAGAGCUACAUGUAUAAAAUUCCAAGCCUAUCUGCCGAAGUGGACAGGGAGAAGCCCAUUAAACCUCCACCCUACACAGAGAACUAUAGGCAACUGAGGACACUGGGAGUGGGGGGAAAGCAUCUUCUCCAAUGCCAAGUAGACAGCCGUGUGUGUGUGUGUGUGUGUGUGUGUGUGUGUGUGUGUGUGUGUGCGCGCGCGCGCGCAACAUUAUAUGGACUAAACGUCAUAUUUUGGAACAUAUAUGUGUGUCUGUGUGUAUAUUUAUAUAUACACGUGUGUAUAUAUGUGUGUGUGUAUAAAUAAAUAAUUUGUGUUGGAAGUCUCUUGAUCUGAAUUCCCUCAGCAAUGGACUGUUCCCUGGAACAGUAAACUGAAAUAAACCCUUUCCUCACC